rnacentral:rRNA from 1 species
AUACGGAGGAGGCAAGCGUUGUUCGGAAUUAUUGGGCUUAAAGCUCGUGUAGGCGGCCAAGUAAGUGUCUUGUGAAAUCCCUCGGCUCAACCGAGGAACUGCUCGGCAUACUGCUUGGCUUGAGGUCGGUAGAGGUGACUGGAACUCUAGGUGGAGCGGUGAAAUGCGUAGAUAUCUAGAGGAACGCCGGAGGCGAAAGCGGGUCACUGGGCCGAUUCUGACGCUGAGACGCGAAAGCGUGGGUAGCAAACAGGAUUAGAAACCCCAGUAGUCC